UACGUAGGGUGCAAGCGUUAUCCGGAUUCACUGGGCUUAAAGGGUGCGUAGGUGGGCAGGUAAGUCAGUGGUGAAAUCUCUGGGCUUAACCCGGAAACUGCCAUUGAUACUAUUUGUCUUGAAUAUUGUGGAGGUCAGCGGAAUAUGUCAUGUAGCGGUGAAAUGCUUAGAUAUGACAUAGAACACCAAUUGCGAAGGCAGCUGGCUGCACAUAUAUUGACACUGAUGCACGAAAGCGUGGGGAGCAAACAGG
rnacentral:rRNA from 1 species